AUGAAAAAUAUGGUGAUCAUAUCGCCCGGCCCUACCUACCAUCCACCCAGCCAUCCAUCCACCCAUCCAUCCAAUCCAUCCAUCAUUCCACCCAUCCCAUCCAUCCACCCCAUCCAUCCACACAUCCACCCCAUCCAUCCAUCAUCCCAUCCACCCAUCCCAUCACCCAUCCAUCACACCCAUCCCAUCCACCCACCCAUCCAUCCAAUCAACCCCAACCCACCACCAUCCAUCCAGCACCUCACACCCACCAUCCCAUCCACCCAUCACAUCCACCCAUCCAUCCCAUCCAAUCCCCAUCCAAUCCAUCCCAUCCAUCCAUCCACCCACUCCCAUCCACCCACCCACCCACCCACCCACCCACCCAUCCACCCAUCCCAUCCACCCACCCAUCCACCCAUCCAUCCACCAUCCAAUCCAUCCAUCCACCCACCCAUCCACCCACCCACCAUCCACCCAUCCAUCCAUCCCACCCAUCCAUCCACCCAUCCCCCCACCCACCCACCCAUCCAUCCACCCCCACCCACCCACCCACCCACCCAUCCACCCACCCACCAUCCAUCCACCAUCCCACCCAUCCCCCAUCCUCCAUCCAUCUCCAUCCACCCAUCCAUCCACCAUCCAUCCACCAUCCACCACCAAUCCAUCCCAUCCACCCAUCCCAUCCCAUCCCAUCCACCCACCCAACCAUCCACCCAUCCCAUCCACCCAUCCAACCAUCCAUCCAUCAUCCACCCACCCAUCCACCCACCCAUCCAUCCAUCCAUCCAUCCACCCAUCCAUCCAUCCAUCCACCCAUCCCAUCCCAUCCAUCCAUCCACCCACCCACCUCCAUCCAUCCACCACCACCACCCACCCACCCACACCCACCCAUCCCACCACCAUCCAUCCAUCCAUCCACCACCCACCCAUCCAUCCACCACAUCCCAUCCAUCCACCCAUCCAUCCAUCCAUCCAUCCAUCCACCCACCCACCACCCACCCACCCCACCAUCCACCCACCCAUCCAUCCAUCCAUCCAUCACCCACCCAUCCAUCCACCCAUCCAUCCACCAUCCACCCAUCCUCCACCCCCACCCAUCAAUCCACCCACCCACCCACCCACCCACCCACCCUCCAUCCACACCAUCCACCAUCCAUCCACCCAUCCACCCAUCCCACCCACCAUCCACCACAUCCACCACACCAUCCAUCCAUCCAUCCAUCCAUUGUAACAGUAACGGUCUUGUCCUUUCUAAACAUGCAGUAUUCCAGAACCUGA
rnacentral:lncRNA from 1 species